CUACUGUGGUUAUUAGGUACAUGUCUUUUACUCUCCUAUUAGAUUACCAGGAUCCUACACUUCUUCAGUAAACUCCCUGAAAUCAAGACUGUCUUGUAAUUCUUUUUUUUUUUUUUUAAUAUCCACAAAGCUUAGCACACCUAUGUGUUCGACAUUUGCUAAAUGUAUAAACUGGUUGAUUAUUUUUAAGGUUUAGUGUUGCCAUAACUCUAGGACUGAAAUGUUAUUCUACAAUAGAGUUAAGACAUAUCUAAAUGCCAUAGAAGAGGUUAUACAACAUUAUCUUCUAAUUUUUAAAUCAAUGGUUUUCCAUUUAUUUCCAACCUUUUGUUGGUACUUUAAUUAAAAAAAAAAUCGAAUGUCAGAAUACCAGGUAUAUUUUCCUGAAAAGCUACAGGUAAUGUUUGAAAAUUAUAUUUUUUCAACAUUCUAAGAGUGUCUAUUAUUUAAUGAAGAAGUCCUGUGGUUAAAAAGUAACUUUUGCAAAGACAACAGUCACUCAAUAAUUUAUCCUUCGUAUUAUGCCAUUCCUUUGCUUCUGUUCUUAUCUUUCCAAACCUUAAUCUUCCAUAAAACCUCUUCUUGUUUUCCCAACUACAAUCUCUUCCAUCUGCCUUAUAAUUAUACAAAUCAUUUUAAUCUCUGCCAGUAUAUUAUAAAUGCCGUAAGAGUGCAAAUGACUAAUUUUUGUAAAUGUUCAUCAAUGUGUUGAAAUCAUGUCAGACUAGAAUAAUAGUCACUGCCCACAUCUGAAAAUAGUCUGCAAACCUUAAGGCCAAAUGAAUUUUUAAUUUGAAAAUCAUCAUGUAUGAUCAUUAUUUCAAUUAAUAUUUUAAUAUGUGCAGUAAAGUUUAAAAAUAGCCAACGACUAUCUUUCAGAAAAGUAGUAACAUAAAUAAUGAGAAAUUUACAAUAUCUGUUGCAUAAACCCUCAAAACAUUCACUGAAGGGUAGUUAGGAAUGUCUUAAAGGCAAAAUAAAGUAUAAUAAAGCACAUACACAGGAGAAGAUCAUCUCUUUGAACUACCAGAGAUUUGACUCAUUGCAGGAUAACGUUUCCAAAACCUAGAUCUUACACUGAAAAGAACAAAAUUGUUCAAAAGGUGAUGUUUUAAAAUGUGGUAUCUACAGCUACAUUUACGAAAUCACAAUUGAAUGUUUAAGAAAACAGCUGUAUGCUGCCUAAACACAAGUGAAAAGCAUCACAGCUUACAUGAUACCACUAAAACCACAGACAUCAGCUGAGAUUGUCUACUACAGACUGCACUACCAUGUCAAUAGUGCACAAACUGGGACAUCAUGACAUCAAGCAGUCAUUCACAGCCAACCAAUCACGCCACCCACCAUGCACAGGAAAAUAUGUAACACACCAUUUCUUUCAAUUAUUACAAUGUUAUAAACUCAAAAUCCUUUCAGAACAAUUCUAUUCUUCAAAGAUGUAUCAAUUUUAGAUUCUGAAAUAAAGUAUGUAUUGUAUUUUGAAAAGGUUCUCAGGUUACCAUGAAACACAACAUCAGCUAAGAAUCAUCAGUUAGUUGCAAGACAGUAUUCUACACUAUGUCUGGCUGGGAGGCCUUCCAUCCAUCCACUAACCCACCUACGCACCUACACACCCUCUCCAAAGCAGGCACUCUGAUAUUAAGAAGGAAAUACUACAAAGAAAAGCCCACACGAUGAGAAGUCACAAGACCUUCAUUCCAAGUCCUGGCUGGUCGCCCUUUUAAUCAUCUGAUCCAGAACUAAAGCUUCUUCAUCUGAUUGCUCUAAAAUCAAGUGACAUGCUCCACGAAGAGGAGCUUGCUUUUUCUUUUUACUAUACAAAUAUAGGAAUUCAGGUAUUUGUUAGUUGAUUGUACAGUGCUUGAAAGCAGCUUGUUUUUUUGUUUUUUGUUUUUUGUUUUUUGUUUUUUUUUUUGCCAAUCUGUUUUUCACAAAGCCCAAGAGGUCAUCUCCAGUUCAUGACAAAAUUAUAACUGGAUCAGUACACUCAAAACUAAGGUAUUAAAAUGAGGUGGUGUGCAAAAUGGGUUUGUAUUUGCAUUUGUCAAAAGACCAAAAUAACAGUGUCACAGGCAGGCAUCCUAAACCAGGUAAAUUUUGAGUCGAAUUUGGAAGACCAAAAGGACUGUCUUGUUGCAACAUAAAAAUGCAGGUUAGAGUAAGAAGAUCAGUAUGUAACAGAGGGGCCAAAGUGAGGAGUACAUAUAAUUAAAUAUAAAGUCAAAGAUGGAGAAUAUUUGACAAGUUUUUAUUUCGUAACACAGCUAUUAGAAACAACUACACAUUCUUAAGCCAAGAGUGAUAUGGUAAAAUGAUACUUGAAGAAAAUUAUCCUAGCAGCGGUGUGGAGGAUGAAGAAGUUAUCAGACAUGAGUGUCAGAAAAUUGUUUUGAAAGCUUUCAUAUUAAUACAAGUAAGACUGUAAAAUAAGGUGGUGGUUAAGGACAUGAAAAGGAGUAUAUCUGGUAGAGAGUGCAGAGAGUCAACUAGACUUUGUGAAAGGUUGAAUUAGGGAGGUGCAAAAAGAUUUGAAAAUGACUCUAAGCAUCUGGUCACAAGUGGCCUACAGCAUAACCACACCUGCGCAGCACUAACAGUUCUUACACAGGUUUUUCCAGGCUGCAUCUGAACCCGUUUAUUUAGUUCUACAUACCAGACCUGCAGUGAAACAGCACUCCACUUCAGAUGGAAGCAGAAAACUACCACCACCAUUCUAGCAGGAAAAUACCUAUAACCAAAGAUUCCAGCUUUGUUUCUUGAUGAAAGAGGCCCACUUUCUAACCCUGGGGAACUUCCUAUCUGCACUACUGGGGAACAGGGAAAUUUCUUCUCUCUAUCCCCAAAAGAUUCUCCACACACUUGAAGACCAAGCUCAGUUCUAUAUGGAUCUUUUAAGUCACAUGUACAUAAAACACAGAUGACACACCAGUGAUAGUGAUAGGCGUAACAAUAUAAAGCAGGCAAACCCUAUUUUUAAAGGGCUUGUUCUAAACUGGAGCUAGGCCAAGUUGAUUACACUAAAAAAUUAAAGUGGCUAAAAAGCAAUCUUCUGGGGUUAAUGUAUCACAAAACGUCAAAAAAAUAAAUUGUUCCAGAAUGCACUGCUACAUAAUGAUUCUGCAGUUUUGCUGAAGCUUUAUUUUCUGCAGUUUUAAAAACACUGUUGGAAAGCAGACAUCAGAUCAAAGGGUUUUCCUUGUCUAAAAAGCAUACCAUUAUGCUAUUUCCAAUUUUAUCAAGAAGAACGGUAAUCAAUAACAAAAUGUAUUUAAUAAACGUCUGGCUGCCUACAGUUCCUUUUAAGGAAGACCACGUAUAAAUUUCAUUCUUUAAAAAAGAACUCAUAUUAAUCUAUGGGAGACUGUGAGUAAACAAAGCUCCAGGGCUUGGUUUGAACAUUUCCAUUUUCAAAAAGGACUGAUGAGUCCAAUCUCCUUGAGAAACAUGUCUAUUUCAUCCAGCUUUUAAGGAGAUUCUAAAACGUUAUGUAUACAUACACUUUUCUCAAACAAACAAGCACUGUCGUAAAUUUUUCACAUUGCCUUACUAUAUUUAAAAAAAAAAAAAAAAAAAAGGGCUACCUUACAGAUUAAAGUAUUAUCUAGGAGGGUUGCCAAACUACGACCUCCUGAUAAAUGAGACAGCUCUCCAAGUCACUAUCACUCUAACCCUUCCAUGCUAAAUCUUUCGGCCGCAGAGGAUGAAUUUUUAUCUUCUUCUUGGAAUUAAGAUCCUGCAUUAUCAGGAGAUACACAGGGUUAGGCUUAAAGCCACAGACUCCAGCAGCUCCAAGCUGCCCUAACACAGCGGGCAGGGGGAGCCAAGGCGCAGCAUCGCCUCCACGCUCCGAGACCAACACCAAGUCUCUUCGCCUCCACGUUCCGAAACCAACACCAAGUCUCUUCGCCUCCACGCCGAGAGCAGAGACCUGCAGCAAAGUUUGUAACUGACCAGUUUCCUGGAGCGUCUUGAGUGGCAGGUUUACAGGGGUCCUAAGCCGAUGUUCUAUCCUAAGAUGUUGAAGAACCAAUGAUCUUCAAAACAGGACAAGACUUGUUUCCUGGAAUGUAAUGUGGAGGAAAGAGCACAGGC